GACGAACGCUGGCGGCGUGCUUAACACAUGCAAGUCGAACGGAAAGGCCCUGCUUUUGUGGGGUGCUCGAGUGGCGAACGGGUGAGUAACACGUGAGUAACCUGCCCUUGACUUUGGGAUAACUUCAGGAAACUGGGGCUAAUACCUGAUAGGAUCUCCUGCUGCAUGGUGGGGGUUGGAAAGUUUCGGCGGUUGGGGAUGGACUCGCGGCUUAUCCGCUUGUUGGUGGGGUAGUGGCUUACCAAGGCUUUGACGGGUAGCCGGCAUGAGAGGGUGACCGGCCACAUUGGGACUGAGAUACGGACCAGAAUGCUACGGGAGGCAGCAGUGGGGAAUAUUGCACAAUGGGCGGAAGCCUGAUGCAGAAACGCCGCGUGCGGGAUGACGGCCUUCGGGUUGUAAACCGCUUUCGCCUGUGACGAAGCGUGAGUGACGGUAAUGGGUAAAGAAGCACCGGCUAACUACGUG
rnacentral:rRNA from 1 species